AAAUGCUUUAAAACUCUCUUUGCCUGGAGUCUCAACUUUGCCUGUCAUAUGACGUGGCACGUUGCCAGUAUCUUGGCUUCCCUUGGGUGUGUCUCAUUAGCCAGAGGGUCCCUGUCUCCAGGAAAGUGGGCUUGGCCCAGGCCCUUGACUUAGGAACGCCGCAUCUUGUGGGUGCAUGGCUGUGAUCUGAUCCCAAGCCUAUCUUCUAGUGAUUGACAGCUGCACAGUGGCCAUGGCUUCCAACGACACACCUGAAGGGGUGCGGUAUAUUUCCUCCAACGUCUGUGGUCCUCACGGGAAGUGCAAGAGUCAGUCGGGAGGCAAAUUCACCUGUGACUGUAACAAAGGCUUCACGGGAACAUACUGCCAUGAAAAUAUUAAUGACUGUGAGAGCAACCCUUGUAGAAACGGUGGCACUUGCAUCGAUGGUGUCAACUCCUACAAGUGCAUCUGUAGUGACGGCUGGGAGGGGGCCUACUGUGAAACCAAUAUUAAUGACUGCAGCCAGAACCCCUGCCACAAUGGGGGCACGUGUCGCGACCUGGUCAACGACUUCUACUGUGACUGUAAAAAUGGGUGGAAAGGA
rnacentral:sRNA from 1 species